UCCCUGUAGUGCUAUGGGUAGCGCGUUGGACUUCAAAUCCACAGGUCGUGGUUUCGAAUCCACCUGGGGAG